AAUAUAUGAUUAAUAAAUACGUCUUCAUUUGAUUUAAUUUGAUUCUAUAAUAUAGCAAAAGGGUCACCCUUAUUUCCUUUUUAAUAAUUGAAUGAACUAUAUUUUGAUCAUGUUUUACCCUCCCCAAAUUCCUCCUAGAACCUCCCUACCUCUCCACCCAAUCAACUCUAUAUUCAAAAAGCAACAAAAAUAAAACGAAACCAAGAACACAAGAAAAAAGUACAUAAAAAUACCACCGGAGUCCAUGCUGUGUUGGUGAACUACUCUUAGCAUAAGGCCUGCCUUCAAAUGUGAUUGAUGCUCCCAGGGAGACACCAUUGGAGAAAUCUGAUUUUUUUUUUUUUUUGGAAACAGGUAUCAAUUGCAAAUUGAUCCUUGGCUGGAGGUAGGACCCAGUGUUUAGGAGAACAAGAGGAAGCUGAGCGUGUUUGGGAAUGCAUAGGAGAGUGGAGGGUGGUACGGGCAGGAAUUUGAACAGAGUGUAGAAGGUGAGUGAUCUGGUCUGUAGUGAACAGUAUAAUCUUCUAACCAUGUCCACGUGAGUUUCAUUUUGCUCCUUGUCCAUUUGAACAAAACAAUGACGUCAUCACACUAUGCCUAACUCAUUCAGCUUAGGAGAACCGAGUUUCUGAGCAGCAGACAUUUCCUUGCGUUCCACUGCUGCUAGAAAACUUUCUGAAGAUUAUGAGCUUGGUUCCUUUCUUUCCGCCUUUCUGUUGCCUCUACUAUUUUAGUAGAGAAACGACUUCAUACCUUGAGAACAUAUCGGAUGUCCUUAACGCUUCCUAAAACUCUCUUUUUCUCUUCAGUGUCCAUCAGAGUUCAUGCCCUUAAACAUGGAUUCCUGUAAAAGCUUAGUUAUACUACUGAUUUGUACGGCAAAAGUAUAAAACUCACAUUUGCUCAAUCUGAGAGACCUGUAUCAACUGUGUGGAAAUGACAGCUGCCAUUUGCCUGGAAACUGACAAACCAAUAAUUGGACUGACCUUGUCAUCCGACCUUUUGUCCAGGAGUGAUGAGUCUCCCUCCAAACUGCCCUGCCUUGUGGUAAUCACACCCCACAAAGCUUUAUGGAGCAUCAAGUUCUCAUCCCCGAAAUGGACGUCACGCUACAUCCAUCGUGAGAGUCGUCCGCUGACUCCGUGGAAUUGAAGUGUCCCAUUUUCAUCUACUCCCAACAACCAUCAGGUCACACAGAGGCCAAAGAAACAUCAACAGAAAUGGCCGCAGAUCAACACUUCCGUGACCACGGCUGCCAAAUUUAGCAAGUGAGAAGGAGGUACUUCCAUGCUGUGAGUGCUUAUCUGAACUACACUGAAGAGACUCCCAUCACAGAAGUCUGAGAACAGAGAGAAACAACCAGCUUGAAACAGGGCCACCCACAGUGGGCCAAGCUCUCCCGCAUUUAUCACUAGUUAAGAAAAUGCUCUACAGGCUUGCCUGGAGCCUGAUCUUCUCAAUGGAGUUUCACAUAUCUCAAACAACCAGAGGGAGGAAGGAUUGUAGGAACCACAGGGGUCAAGGACAUCACAAGAAAACCCACAGAAGCUAACCUGGCUCGUAGGAACACACAGACUCUGAACCACACAACAGGGAGCCUGCAUGAGACCCACCUAGGCCCUCUACAUACAUGUGAUAGCUGUGUAGCAGGGUCGACUCCUAACAAUGGGAGCAGGGCUGUCCCUAAUGCUUCAGCUGGCUCUUGGGAACCUAUUCCUCAUACUGGACUGCCUGGCCCAUUCUUAAUACAAGGGGGGAUGCUUAGUCUUACGGCAACUUAACAUGCCAAGCUUUGUUGAUAUCCACGGGAGGCCUGUCCCUUUAUGAACAGAAAUAGAGUGGGAGUGGAUUGAGGGGAGUACAGAGGGGAAGUUGGGAGAGAGAAUGGGAGGGAAAGGAGGGAGUGAAACUGCAGUCAGGAUGCAAAAUUGAAAAAGAAAGUUGCCAGUACAUUGCUCCCACGGGCUGUGAGACCAUAAUGUCUGCAGACAUUUAAUAUGUACCCUGAAAGUUGCAUAAGUCCUGGUUGAAAACCACUGGGGUUUAAGAAAUUUACUCUUAGGAAAAGAAUUUUCCCAUGACAGACAUUUCUCCAUCUCAGAGUUUACCUCUGUCAUCUGUUCCAAUGUGGUCCUCAGGAACUGGAUUUGCCAUCUAGUUAAGAAGGGGGAAAUUUUUCUUUGAAAUUAAAAUUUUAAUUCGUGUCUCAGGAAACACAAAUAUACAUAUGGAUACAUUAGUGUUUGUUAUUUUUAAUAAUAGAUCUCAUUGUGUACCCCAGGUUGGUUUUAAACUCUUUUUAAUGUUGGGAGAAGAGAGUGACUAUGAUGAAAAUAAGUUGUAGAUAAUUUUUAAGAGAACUAAAAACUAAACCAAAAAUUUCAAAUAUGUUGGGGUGUAUAUUUGAAGAUAAAAGAUCCCCUGGAGCUAGAGUUUACGGUGGGUAUGAGCUGCCCAGUGUGGGCGCUGGGAAAGUAACUCUGCAAGAGCAGAGUGUGCGCUUAACCAAUGAGUCGUCUCUCCAGCCUGUCGGCUUUGAGCUCUUGCUCUCCUAUCUGUCUCCGGUCCUGCUUUUUCACGCAUGUGCUUCUGUUUUUUUUUUUUGUGUAUAUGCCAAAUAAGCGGCUUUUCAUUGAAGAAUUUUAAAGAAGAAAACUACUUCAUGAAUAGAAGUAGCCAAAACAAAACAAACCUCCUCGAUAGUGUUGCAUCAGAUAGGUGUGUGUAACUGUGGUCUAGAGCAGAUUCAGGUAGCAUGGCACCCAACUGCUCACUUACAAAGAGUCAAAGCUUAGAGUUCCUUUGACGGGUUAAGUCCUUAAACUUAAUUGUGGAUUGACGGGUUAUGUCUUUAGACUUAAUUGUAGACAGAAUGAAAAUUGGAAACUAAGUAUUCCACUUGCCAGCUCGGCUCUUACUGUUUCACGAUACUUUUUAAGGGUACUGCCUCUUAUUAUCCUCAUGGUGCAAUAAUUUCACAUAAACACAUGCAACAGUAUUUUUAGACAGGACCCUACAGCAUGUGGCUGUAACAGAUUGCAAAACUGGGAGAAGGGAAGAAGUAGGGAGAAAUGAUUAUUUCAAGGAAAUUUCACAUCUGUGGGAUCUAAUAGGAGUUAUAUGAACACAUACAUUAUUUGUACUUUUUAGCUAUAUCUAUGUGUGAAAGUAUUGCCCACCCCUGAUCUCCAACUCCUAAUAUCCCUGACAGAUAAUUUGGGGUUGACACCACACUCUUGGGAAUAUGACUAACCACACAUUUAGAGAACAGGCAAAUUUGGCUGUAGAGGUAUUCCUAUGUAGGAUACUCAACUCAUAGUUUGAAUACAUUUUUACUGUGUCCCCAGAGAAACUAAGCCCAGGGAGUGAGACAAAAGGAGGUACCCCAAGAGCCUGCAUUUUAGAACAAAAGGGUCCCUAAAAGAAAUGUCAGACAAGCCCCGUCUUCGUCAAGGCUCUACUGACCCUACUCUCCAUACUCUUUUCAAGCUGUUUUAUUAACUGUAGUAACCAUACCAUGCGCAUUGGAUCCCAAAACUUACUCAUUUUGUAACCAAAAGUGUUAAUGUUUCUGUAUUUGUCCUGUACAAAAGUACCUGCUAAUUACUAGACUGCCUGCUUUAAGUUGAGUUCUUUAUACCAUGUGUAUUAACAAAGACUUAGUAGUAUAUCUGUCUGAGUGUCUGUGUCUAAGUUAGUCCAUUUUAGCAAAAUGUCUUCCAUGUUUAUGCUUUUAGAAAUGAAGAUUUUCUUUUGUCUUUCCAUAAAUAAAAUAAUAUUUGUGUGUGUGUGUGUGUGUGUGUGUCUGAUUGGUUAUUAUGAAUAAUGCUAUAAGAAGAAUAUGUGGGUAGAUCUUUUUUAAGAUACCGACUUCAUUUCUUUUGAAUAUAAAUCUAGAUGUUGUAUUAGAUAAUAGUGCGGUUUAAGUUUUGAAUAUAUAUCAAAGAAAAUAACCUCUAUUCUAUUUCCACAAUGACUGUGAAUAACUUAGAACUUCACUACUUAUAUAAAAAUAUCUGCUUACAUAGAUUUUUAGGCAACAUUAUUCACCUUCGUUUUUAGAACAUCAAGUUUAUUUAUUGGAGAUGCACUCUACCAAAGACUAUCUUAAAUUUUGCUUUCUAUCAAUUAAUCCUGUUUGAAUCCAUGUAAAUACUAAAUAUUACAUUUGGUUUUAUAUAUUAGUAACUUCAUUUUUAAUUUUUUUUACUAUCUAAGAGUUUCACACAUGCAUAAAGGUCCCUUUCCAUCUGUUCUCUCCCCUCUGGUUUCUCCUUUAUUCCCCCACUUACCACUUUUCCUUCCCAGAUUUAUAUGCUAUUUUUCUACAACCCACUGAGGUGAUUUACUGCUGGAAAUGCAUGACACAAGUAGCUUCCUAGAGGUUACUUUGAGGAAAACAGACUCCCUCCCCACCCCAUCAGUCAUAAGUUGCUAACAGGGCUUCAGGUAGGGGUGGUAUCUCAGGAACCCACCCCUGCUGCAGUGAUCUCUGAGCCUCGGAGGAAGUGUAUGGCAUAGAUACCCCAUUCGAAUCUUAGCAGCCCACAGUCCCUUGUUCUUUGUACCAUGCUCAGCCGUGCCUCUGCACCAGCCAUCAUUUAUUGAAAAGAGACGUUUCUGUGAUGAGAGCCGAGAGAUGCACCAACCUGUGGUGUGGAAAUGAGAAUUUAGGAAAGGGAAUGUUUGUCGCUAAUGCCAUGUAGCAGUAUAAUAGUAUUAGGCUUCCCUCUAGGCCCUAGGACCUAGCUUUUGGCUUCAUUAAUUAUACCAAGCAUGAAUGCUGCUUUGUGGGGUAGGCUUUGAAUCCAAUCAGAAAGGUAUCGGUUGCUUCUGUAAUACCUGCGUCACUGAUGCACCAAUGAGAAAGUUAACUGUCUUUGUUGAUAGGUGGGGAUUUACUUCAUUUCGUAAAUUAUGUUCUGGUCACUUUGAGGUUUUGUUUGUCCUGUUCAUUCUUUUUUAUUGUCUUUCUUUUUUCUUUUUGCAACGUUAUACCUUAAUCCCUGUCUCUUUAUGUUAAAUAGUGUUUGAAAGUGAUAAGGAAAUCAUUUUGAAGGAGUAACAUGUAUGGACAUUUAAUAUCAUCUUAUCUAAAGUAAGACAUUGAGAAGAAGGAAUAUUCCAACAGAGUAAGAACACAGUCCAUACAGAAACAGAUACUCUGAUUUAUGUAAAGUAACUAUUCAAAUAUUCAAUUAAUUGAGAAAGUGUGUAUUAAAAUUUCAGGUACAGAUGAUCCUUAUGAUAGAGGAAAGCAUUACAGAAAUCAUUCUCUCUCCUUGUUGAAAGAACUCUCCAGAUGGGAGAACAGAGGUUGGACAUUGCUAGAUGUUGGAUAACUAGUUAUGACCAAAGAAAGACAGAAUAAUUAUGUUAUCUAUGAAGAAGGUGAUGGGGGAAGUUCUUCUGUGUAUAUGUUGAUGAAUAAAGCACUGUUGGCCAAUAGGGAAGCA